AGAAGAGUUAAAACAAGUAGACAUAAAGGAUGGAGUAAUUCAGGAAUGGAAAACCAAACACUGCGUGUUCUCACUUACAAGUAGGAGCUAACCCUGCUGCAUUCAAAUGGUCCUGGGUGAUUAGCUAUGAUUCCAAUGAUCUCUUGGCACCAUUGUUAAGUUCAGUGGUGGAUACUUUCUUAACCAACUUACUUUCUAUGUAUCAGAAGCUAAGGAAGACUUGCUCCAUCAAAAUGAGGGAGUUGGCCAGGUGCAGUGGCUCAAGUCUGUAACUGCCUCAGCCUCCUGAGUAGCUGAGAUUACAGGCGCCUGACACCACGCCUGGCUAAUUUUUGGGUUUUUAAUAGAGACGGGGGUUUCAUCAUGUUGGCCAGGCUGGUCUGAAACUCCUGACCUCAGGUGAUCCACCCACCUUGGCCUCCCAAAGUGCUGGGAUUACAGGCAUNNNNNNNNNNUGGCUGCAGUCAGCCCACCAGAUUAGACUCUGUACAGGGCUGUGUCUUUGCCUCCUUAGAGUGAAGU
rnacentral:lncRNA from 1 species